AUUCUACUCCCUCUGUUGCACAAUACAUGCCUUCUAUUUGUCAAAAUAUGUAUGUAUCUAGACAUGUCUUAGUAUAUAGGUACAUCCAUUUUUGGACAAAUGGAAGUCAAGUAUUUUGGAACGGAGGGAGUACACA
rnacentral:pre_miRNA from 1 species